rnacentral:rRNA from 1 species
AUGAACAAUCUGCCGGCUGCACGUACGCGCUGGCUACCUCCAGCUAACUAUGAUGCCAAGCUGAAUGUGGACGGAGGCAUCUCCAGGAGUGGCACCCGUGGUGCAGCAGCGGUAGUCUGCCGGGACAAGCAUGGAAAGUACCUUGGGGCCUCCGCAAUCAUCUACGACGGCCUCGUCGACCCGGCGACGUUAGAAGCUCAAGCUUGUAAUGAAGCCUUGGCCCUUGCCACUGAUCUGCAUAUUGAUUAUAUCUGUAUUGCUUCUGAUUGUGCCGAAGUUGUCACGAACAUUGAGAAGGGGGCUCUUUGCCACUAUGCUGCCAUCUUACAAGAGAUAAAUCACCAUUGA